UCAGGCGACUCUGGAAAGCGAAGAUCGGCACGCGCCGUGGACGUGGCGCGGGCGGGCCUUCCACCGAAGGAGAAAACCGGCGUGCCCGCACGCCGGUGAAGCUCUCAGGUUUCCCGACAGAGGGGGAGUG
rnacentral:ncRNA from 2 species